CAACUCAUACUGCUUUCUUCUCGUACAAGUGACCUCAGUUUUACAUGAGAACUGCAGAUGUAACUGGGAAGGUGGAUCACCAGAAAUUGUAAAGAUGGUGAUGCAUGGUGAUUACCGCGGGUUUUUUGGGCUCACAUCCCCUGUUCCUCUCGAAGCAGGUACUGACGUCCCAAUCUUCCGAAGUGUGCUGUGAGAGUACCGCUUGCUGGUUGCAAACUUGCGAAGGAUCCUAACUCCAGUGAGCUGCUCGUCAUUGGAAUUUGAUUCCAACAGCUCCUCUGCAAAAGAAACCAGCAAUUUACCAUAGCUUACCCUCCAUUUCCAGUAGGCUUUCUCCAUCAAGAACAACAGAGCUUCAGCAAGGGCCAAAGCAUAGAAAAUAUUCAAAGCCGACUUGUGAUUCUUCUUGUCAGAAUCGCCUUUGCUUAUUACAUCCCCAUAGUCCUGCUGGAUAAGCCUUGUAAGUGAGAGUGACACGCAGGCAGAGGCCGAUAACAGCUGAAGCCAGUAGAGAAACUUACUUAUGUUCUUCGUUAGGAAAACCCAUCCUGCAUAUGGAAGUAAAGGGACUUCCUGUGUCACCCAUGUUCGUGUUGCCGGAUUCUGGUAAUCUUGAUUUCUUGAUAUAUUGAUGUUGGUGUUGUCUGUUACUUCU